rnacentral:rRNA from 1 species
UCAGUAACACGUGGGUAACUGCCCUAUGCUGGGGAAUAACCUCGGGAAACUGAGAAUAAUGCCCCAUAGCCCACUACGCUGGAACGGUGAGUGGGUCAAAGCCCCGGCGGCAUAGGAUGGGCUGCGCCGUAUCAGGUUGUAGGGGGUGUAAAGUACCCUCUAGCCAUCAACGCGUACGGGUGUUGGGAGACAUUGCCCGGAGAUGGAUUCUGAGACACGAAUCCAGACCCUACGGGGUGCAGCAGGCGCGAAAACUUGGCAAUGCGAGAAAUCGUGACCAGGGAACUCCAAGUGCGUAGGGUAAGACCUACGCUUUUCUUGACUCUUCAAAGGUCUUGGAAUAAGGGGUGGGUAAGGACGGUGCCAGCCGCCGCGGUAAUACCGGCGCCUCAAGUGGUAGUCGCUUUUAUUGGGCCUAAAACGUCCGUAGCCGGUCUGGUGCAUUCGUGGGUAAAUCAACCCGCUCAACGGGUUGAAUUCUGCGAGCACGGCCAGACUUGGGACCGGGAGAGGUGUGGGGUACUCUCAGGGUAGGGGUAAAAUCCUGUCAUCCUGAGAGGACCACCUGUUGCGAAGGCGCCACACUAGAACGGAUCCGACGGUCAGGGACGAAACCUAGGGGCACGAACCGGAUUAGAUACCCGGGUAGUCCUAGGUGUAAACGCUGUGGACUUGAUGUUGGGGGCGCUCCGAGCGCUCUCAGUGUCGAAGCGAAGGUGAUAAGUCCACUGCCUGGGGAGUACGGUCGCAAGGCUGAAACUUAAAGGAAUUGGCGGGGGAGCACUGCAACCUGAGGAUUGUGCGGUUUAAUUGGAUUCAACGCCGGG